ACGAACGUUGGCGGCGUGCCUAAUACAUGCAAGUCGAGCGAGAAACGGGGGGCAACUCCCGGAGUAAAGCGGCGAAAGGGUGAGUAAUACGUGGAGAACGUACCCCUUGGAUCGGGAUAACCCAGGGAAACUUGGGCUAAUACCGGAAGACGUCCUGAGGAGACCUCUUCUUAGGACCAUAGGUGCGGGAAACCGUGCCACCGAGGGAGCGCUCCAUGGCCUAUCAGCUAGUUGGCGGGGUAAUGGCCCACCAAGGCAAUGACGGGUAGCCGGACUGAGAGGUCGACCGGCCACAUGGGCACUGAGACACGGGCCCAACACCUACGGGUGGCAGCAGUAGGGAAUCUUGCGCAAUGGGCGAAAGCCUGACGCAGCGACGCCGCGUGGAGGAUGAAGGCCUUCGGGUUGUAAACUCCUUUCAUGGGGGACGAACACUGACUUAACCCCAGGAAGAAGCACCGGCUAACUCCGU
rnacentral:rRNA from 1 species